GAUGAACGCUAGCGGCAGGCCUAACACAUGCAAGUCGAGGGGCAGCGGAAGAAUUACUUCGGUAGUUCUGCCGGCGACCGGCGCACGGGUGAGUAACGCGUAUGCAACCUACCUUUAACAGGGGGAUAAUCUGGAGAAAUCUGGUCUAAUACCCCAUAACACUAUUUGGGGCAUCCCGAGUAGUUAAAAACUCCGGUGGUUAAAGAUGGGCAUGCGUUGUAUUAGCUAGAUGGUGAGGUAACGGCUCACCAUUGCUAUGAUACGUAGGGGGACUGAGAGGUUAACCCCCCACACUGGUACUGAGACACGGACCAGACUCCUACGGGAGGCAGCAGUGAGGAAUAUUGGUCAAUGGACGCAAGUCUGAACCAGCCAUGCCGCGUGCAGGAUGACGGCUCUACGAGUUGUAAACUGCUUUUGUACGAGGGUAAACCCAGAUACGUGUAUCUGGCUGAAAGUAUCGUACGAAUAAGGAUCGGCUAACUCCGUGCCAGCAGCCGCAGUAAAAC
rnacentral:rRNA from 1 species